rnacentral:tRNA from 2 species
ACUGGGGUGGCAGAGCAUGGUAAAUUGCAAAAGGCCUAAGCCCUUUUAGCCAGAGGUUCAAAUCCUCUCCCCAGUU